ACAAUAUGAAUAAAACAGCAUGACAGUAAAAAUAAACAGGAUGUGAAGAGGUUGCAAGACACAAAGAUAUGAUUAUCUUGAAAAGAAGAGGGUCAGCAGGCUGGAGUGUUAAUCAGAAUCAAGUUGCGAUGGCAGAAAAGAAGCCUGGGGCUUAAAAAACCCAGGCAGAUUCCAAAUGAAAUACAAAUUAAAUGUAUGCAGCUGUGAAAAGGCAUAAAGAAGAUCACUCUACACUACUAUGUAAUAAUGAUCUCUAGGAUAUAUUAAGUGAAGAAAGUAAGGUGCAGAAGAGUGUGUAUACUUUGCUAUCUUUCUUUGUGUUAUGAAGUAGGGGAGAGAAUAUUUACAUGUGUAAAUACAUGUAUACAUAGAUUUGCCUGUAUCUUCAACAGAAAAAAAAGUCAGUUACCUACCCAGAGUGGGAAAGAAUAUGAGGAGAAGAAAGGGAUAAAAGCUAGAACCUCUCUGAAUGUGCUGUUUCACAACGUUGCUUUUAGAACCAUGUAGACAUUUCACGAUUAAAAACAAAAUUAAGCAAACAAACAAAACCCCAAAGGAAUCCCAAAAAACUAUAAAACAAACUGGAAAAAAAAGCCUGCCUACCUACCUACCUAAUUGGUUGAAAUUGGCAGCCUGACCAAAUAAACUAUUUAAGUGCUUUUAUAAUACAGUAUUUUCACUGUAUAUAACCAUAACAGUAUGCUAGGAACAAAAAGAACCACAAAGACAUCUUCAACUGCACUCAGCAGGAUUGUUAUUAGUGAUCAUGUUGGUCAUCUUAUUUUGAAAAUGUUAUAUAUGUAGAAAGACAAAGCAAAUAGGUGAUUAUGUUAAUAUUAGGAACCAAGAUAUCAACAUUAAUAAGAAAUACAAAUAAAAAAAUCCAAGAAAAAGUGAAAGCAUCAGUAUAAACUCAUGACUUCUUCAUCUUUCUAAAAAAAUACAUAUUUCCUAGCUUUGUCCACUAAAAAGCCUGAGAAGAAACAACAACCCAGUAGAAAUAAACAUACGUAGUCCUUAGAUUUGUAGUCUCUAAAUGCUAUCAUCUCCUUAAAAGGAAAUAAGGCCUUCUUGGGAGGGAAGUUGGGUUCUAGGUUUGGGGAAGGAAUUGUAUAAGGUGGGCCUGGGACAUUCUUCUGUGCCAGAAAACAAGAAGUUUAAUCAUAUUAACUUGUUAAAAUGAAAAAGGCCAUGUCGACUCAACAACUUGAAUCUACAGAGGUGUUAAUUUUAAUAUCAAACCAAAUAAUGAUUGCAAAAGACUAAAACACAUAACAUUUAUUUUAAAAUACCCGAGUUCCUAAUGAUACUCCAAAAAUAAAAACAAAUACAAAAAUUAGAGGCCACUAGGGGCAUGAACUCAUCAUUCUAAAAAUUAAUAAACAGGGAAGGAAACAGCAUUUAUCCUGCCUUUCCUUGACUGACUGUACUUAAAGGCAGCCAAGGUGCUGGAGCCGCUGCCCAAGAGUCCAAAUCUCACUGCCACGUGCCCGGACACCUGCUGGACAUGCAUUCCCGAUUCCUUUUGUUUCCAAGUCCAAUAUGGAAACUCUCGAGGAUCAGCCGAUUCAUAAUCUUCUAAAGGAAGAACAGAUUCCCCAGAAUAAGAUUACCAUUGUUGGGGUUGAUGCUGUUGGCACAGCUUUUGCCAUCAGUAUCUUAAUGAAGGACUUGGCAGGUGUACUUGCUCUUGUUGAUGUCAUGGAAGACAAAUUGAAGGGCGAGAUGAUGGAUCUCCAACAUGGCAGCCUUUUCCUUAGAACAUCAAAAGUUGUCUCUGGCAAAGACUAUAUGUAACUGCAAACUCCAAGUUGGUCAUUAUCACAGCUGAGGCACAUCAGCAAGAGGGAGAAAGCCGUUUUAAUUUGGUCCAAUGUAAUGUGAACUUCUUUAAAUUCAUCAUUCCUAAUGCUGUAAAAUACAGCCUGAACUGCAAGUUGCUUACUGUUUCAAAUCCAGUGGAUAUCUUUGACCUAUUGUGGCUUGGAAUAUAAGUGGCUUUCCCAAAAACCGUGUUAUUGGAAGUGGCUGCAAUCUCGGCUCAGCCCAAUUCCGUUACCCAAUGCAGGAAAGGCUGGGAGUUCACCCAUUAAGCUGUCAUGGGUAGGGUCCUUGGGGAACAUGGAGAUUCUAGUGUGCCUGUAUGGAGCGGAGUGAAUGUUACUGGUGUCUCCCUCAAGACUCUGCACCCAGAUUUAGGGACUGAUAUAGAUAAGGAACAGUGGAAAGAGGUUCACAAGCAGGUGGCUGAGAGUGCUUACAAGGUGAUCAAACUCAAAGGCUACCCAUCGUGGGCCACUGGACUCUCUGUGGCAGAUUUGGCAGACAGUAUAAUGAAGAAUCUUGGGUGGGUGCACCCAAUUUCCACCAUGAUUAAGGGUCUCUAUGGAAUAAAGGAUGAUGUCUUCCUUAGUGUUCCUUGCAUCUUGGGACAGAACAGAAUCUCAGACCCUGUGAAGGUGACUCUGACUCCUAAGGGGCCGUUUGAAGAAGAGUGCAGUUCCACUUUGGGGGAUACAAAAAGAGCUGCAAUUUUAAAGUCUUCUGAUGGCAUACCAUUUCACUGUCUAGGCUACAACAGGAUUUUAGUUGGAGGUUGUGCAUAUUGUCCUUUUUAUCUGAUCUGUGAUUAA